UACGGAGGGUGCGAGCGUUAAUCGGAAUUACUGGGCGUAAAGGGGGCGUAGGCGGCCCGUUAAGACAGGUGUGAAAUCCCUGGGCUCAACCUAGGAAUUGCGCUUGUGACUGGCGGGCUCGAGUACGGUAGAGGGGGGUGGAAUUCCUGGUGUAGCAGUGAAAUGCGUAGAGAUCAGGAGGAACACCGAUGGCGAAGGCAGCCCCCUGGGCCUGUACUGACGCUCAUGCACGAAAGCGUGGGGAGCAAACAGG
rnacentral:rRNA from 1 species